rnacentral:rRNA from 1 species
UACGUAGGGUGCAAGCGUUAAUCGGAAUUACUGGGCGUAAAGCGCGUGUAGGCGGCAGCGCAAGUCGGGCGUGAAAUCCCACGGCUCAACCGUGGAAGUGCACUCGAAACUGCGCAGCUAGAGUCCUGGAGAGGAAGGUGGAAUGCUUGGUGUAGAGGUGAAAUUCGUAGAUAUCAAGCGGAACACCGGUGGCGAAGGCGACCUUCUGGACAGUGACUGACGCUGAGACGCGAAAGCGUGGGGAGCAAACAGG